CGGAUAUGGCGAAGUGGUUAACGCACCGGAUUGUGGCUCCGGUAUGCGUGGGUUCGAUUCCCACUAUUC
rnacentral:tRNA from 1 species